AAGUCGUAACAAGGUUUUCCUUUCCGUUAAACUAUUAACCCGCUGAAGCCUGACAUGGCGACUAUAAAUCAAUCAUGGAGUUCUGCCUAUAUAGCAAGACAAUACCGCCGAAUUGCUGCAACCAACUGACUUGUUGUACCAGCAGCCCUCAACUGGGCCCACAGAUCAAGCCGCGGUGGUCCUAUCUAGAAAUGCUAGAGGACUUAAAAUAUGACCGGUCUCGCCUGUGACGGCUGAGAGUCGACGUUCCGUAGGUGAACCUGCGGAAGGAUCAUUACCGAGCAAGGGUCUUUGGGGCCC
rnacentral:misc_RNA from 1 species